rnacentral:lncRNA from 1 species
UGGAUUUGAUUAAUGUGGUUAGUUAUGGGUAAAAUGCGCAAAUAUUUUAAAUAAGCAAGUGGUGAUAUAAUAUUCAUUAUUGUUGGAGAAUAUUCGUUUGGUCGUGGAAUAUUCGUACUGUCGGGGAAUAUUCGUACGACGGCGCAGCCAUGUGUGGGCCCCAUAACGGAAAGCGAUUGGAGGAAGAAAACGACAAAUAUAAGUUGUUUAAAAAUAACGGCGUAGUUGUUACCGUUUACACUGUUGGAAUACCCGGUGGUUAAAACACAGUAAUACGCGUUGUUGCACAGUAGCACACGGUAUUGCACCAAUUAUUGAUUCUUACGUAAGAAGGCACUACUCAAUAAUGGUUACAGUAAUUACUGUUCAGUAUUUUAUUUUAUUGAUUCAAUAAUUGCUGCGUUGAUAUUUUAUAUUGC